AAUCGACUUCAUGUCUAGUACACUGGGAUCUGAUUUGGGAACCACUCUCCUUUCUGAAGAAGAGGAGGAAGAGGAGGAGGAGGAUGAAAGAUAUGCUGUGGUAUCAAAGAAUUUGUGUGGCUUUGAAUACACUCCCGGUCACAGCAUGGACAACCUUGAGGGCUCAGGAAAGGCCUCUGAGCAGUGUCUCUCAGACAGCUUUGGCACAGCAGACCAUGGUACACAAGGCUCGCAUAGCCUUGGACACAAGAGGGCGCCACUCACUGCUAACAAGCCUCAAACAGACAAGGUUGGAACUCUUCCCAGACGAAGAGACACUAACACAGACGCCCACACACCAGCCAUGAAGUCCCUGCACGGCAUGGGUUCCCACAUGCACAGUUCGUGGGCAGCUGCUCCAUCAGACCCCUCUGAGGAGUGCAUGGUGAGUGUGUCCACGCUGGAGCGGCAGCAUAUGGCAUCCUGGAGUGGCACGACAUCAUCCAGCAGGGCCACCCUGAGUAGGGGUUCAAACAAGAGAGCUGGCAUAGACCCCUCCCACAACGGGCAUCCUUCCACAAACGGC
rnacentral:lncRNA from 1 species